GCCGGGCACAGCUAGUAUAUCCUAAAACUGAAAGCAUACAGAGAAGAUCUGCAUGGCCCUGGAACACUAAGGACGUGCACAUUCAUUUAUAAUUUAGUAUUUAU
rnacentral:snRNA from 11 species